GGCAAGGGCUCAAAUGGGGGAAUGCCCAGGAGGUGCAGCUGAAGGGGGAAUCCCCUUCCCCAAGGCGGCGGCAGCAGCACCCCCGGUUACUCACCCGGGUUGAAGAGCACAGUCCCCUUGAGAUCAGACACCGUAGUAACAUCAUGGAUGCUGAAACUAACUAGCAGGACAUUAAAACAGUAGCUCUAAUUCUGCAAAUUCUCCUGUCCAGGAAAGACCUGGUGUAACCAAGGACAUAAUUUGGCCUGCAGACCCCUGUGAGUGGGGAUGGUAUAUGGAUGGGAAGAAACUGGCUUGUCUGUUGGAUACUGGCUUGUCUGUCUGGAGGUGGCAGUUUGAAAAAACAUUUUUACUUGCAAACUUGAGAAGAAAGUUAUAUGAAGAUAGUGAGACACAAUGAAUAUGGACCCCCAAGAUGUCAUGGCUGCAGAGACACAUUUGAGAGUAGAGCACAUUGUAAGUAGUGGGCCACAAUAUGAAAAGUGUGAGAACUGCUGCUUUUUUAUUAAUAAACUCUUGAAAGUUA